GCUUCCGUGGUCCAAUGGUUAGGAUUCCACCCUUCCAUAAAAGCUGUAAGGUGGAGGUUCGUGUUCGAUUCACGGCGGUUGCA
rnacentral:tRNA from 1 species